GACGAACGCUGGCGGCGUGCCUAACACAUGCAAGUCGAACGGAAAGGCCCUGCUUUUGUGGGGUUUUCGAGUGGCGAACGGGUGAGUAACACGUGAGUAACCUGCCCUUUACUUUGGGAUAACUUCAGGAAACUGCGGCUAAUACCGGAUAAGAGCUCCUGCUGCAUGUUGGCGGUUGGAAAAAUUCGGCUGUUGGGGAUAGUCUCGCGGCUUAUCCGCUUGUUUGUGUGGUAGUGGCGUACCAAGGCUUUGACGGGUAGCCGGCAUGAGAGGGUUACCAGGCACAUUGGGACUGAGGUAGGGUCCAGAAGGCAACGGGCGGCAGCGGUGGGGAGUAUUACACAGUGAGGGGAAGCCUGAGGUGGCAACGCCGCGUGCGGGAUGACGGCCUUCGGGUUGUGAACCGCUUUCGCAUGAGAUGAAGCGUGAGUGACGGUAAUAGAUAAAAAAGCAACGGCUAACUACGUG
rnacentral:rRNA from 1 species